ncrna:unclassified sequences S16-Flavobacteria ribosomal protein leader
AUUAAUAACCCGAGGUCGAGAACCUCAAUUAAUUAAU